rnacentral:lncRNA from 1 species
AGAUAAUCUAUGAGGAUGUGUCUGACUCCUGUUAUCCCAGCCAACUUGCAGUAUCAUUUGUGUAUGCAUGGCUUUACAAAGAGUGUGCUAUGGUAUGAGCAUACUUGGCUGCUAAGAAGGCUACCAUGUUCAAGUGGCAAACUCCUGCAGAUUGAUAUAUGACCUAUGAUUAAUAUAGACUGCAGUAUUCCAGAGAGGGUGAACCACAAAAUGGAUGAGGAAGAAAAUACUCCUGCUAUACCAUAAUCUGCUGGCUCUCUCCUAUCUCCAUGAUAAGGGAAAGAAAACUGCCAUUAGCUCUGCAUCACUAGUCAGUUCUACAUAUUUUAACACCAUUUUAGAACUCAAACACUGUUUUAGGUUGGAAACUUACAUCUCUUUCCUUCAUAGUCCAUAAAUGUUUUAUUGAAGAUGAAGGUUAAAAAUAUACUAAAUACUCUGUCUUUCAGUGUAAUGCUGGUAAUUCUCAGUCUUCUGCAAAAAGCAAAUGCUUUGGUCUUCUGGUCUUCUUGGUAUUAAUAUGCUUGCAAUUAUUUAUUUAUUUAUAU